UGUAAUGUAGUGUAGUGUAAUGUAGUUGUAUGUAGUGUAGUGUAAUGUAGUGUAGUGUAGUGUAAUGUAGUGUAGUGUAAUGUAGUGUAGUGUAGUGUAGUGUAGUGUAGUGUAAUGUAAUGUAAUGUAGUGUAGUGUAGUGUAGUGUAGUGUAGUGUAGUGUAGUGUAGUGUAGUGUAGUGUAGUGUAAUGUAGUGUAGUGUAGUGUAAUGUAGUGUAGUGUAGUGUAGUGUAGUGUAGUGUAGUGUAGUGUAAUGUAGUGUAGUGUAAUGUAGUGUAGUGUAAUGUAGUGUAGUGUAGUGUAGUGUAGUGUAGUGUAGUGUAGUGUAGUGUAGUGUAGUGU
ensembl:lncRNA